rnacentral:misc_RNA from 1 species
AAAAAAUGUGGCAUAUAACUACAUCCUGCCUACAAAGAAAGAAAAAUAACAAAUUGCUAACUGGGACUUGGGUUUCAUGGUAUGGGGAAGUAGGUACACUUCAUCAAAUAAUUCAUGUGAAUGUUCAGAGGAACCCAGAAGCUAAUGGCAGGUCACCAUGAAUAAAGGGUCACUCUGCCAUUCAAAAAAUCCAGCAUUUACCCAUGAUUUCAAGAAGCAUAUUACAUGUACUUAAUAUAGUCCACUUAGGCAAACUGAAGUUUACAAUAAAAGGAAACAUAGAGCCAAGCUAAACAUUUUGAGUUUAUUAAUGGAUUAACAAUAUGAUUCCAUGGCAGAAA